ensembl:lncRNA
AGUGGAUUUCAUUCUGUGUACAAAUCUCACACACGCUCAAAUAACCAGGCUAGGUUUAUACUCGUGACAAACAAUUCCCUGAAACGCUCACAGUAUCAUAACAAACAAAGCUACAACGCCAGAUUUUAGGUUUUUUAGAUACAGCUUCUCGAGCUUCUCCGUUCACUGUAGCUGUCCCGCGCGCGUAUUCAAAGGCAAUCUCGGGUUGCCAAGUAUUCUUGUUAAUGACCGACAUAUCUGUUCUGUUCGAUUAAUUGCACUGGUUAUAUUAAUGAAAUAAAAUAUAGUAUAAAAUACUAUUUAAUACAGUUUUUAUACUGUAAUGUAGGUUUAUAUUACUUAACGGAGUGAAUGAACAAUAAAGUGCGAUAUUUUCUAGUGUAGAAAUAUUAAAUGGACUUGGCAACCCUCACCACGAAAUGUGUGCAUACAUGUUAACGUUUUUUUCGAAUGUAAAAUUUAAUAAAUAAUGAUUCCUAUUACUUUAUUUGAGAUUAAAUACUAUCUUCUUUAUAUAAACAAUUUUUGCAAUGAAGAAUAAGUCAGGACAGUAGCGAAAACAGGAUGUUACGAAAUCAUCCGGCGACGUCACGUCAGCUUGCCACAGCUGGUGACGUCAAUAUAAGGUUCAUCAUGUUUCAUGGAAUACCCGCCUCUGGAGUGAUGGGAGGAGCACCUGCCAACAAGCCAGAACUGUAUGAGGUAAUAAUGUUAUAUUGAGGACA